rnacentral:tRNA from 1 species
GCCUGGGUGGCUCAGUUGGUUAAGCAUCUGACUUCAGCUCAGAUCAUGGUCUCAGGGUCCUGGGAUCAAGCCCCACAUCAGGUU